rnacentral:rRNA from 1 species
GGACUACUCGGGUAUCUAAUCCCGUUUGCUCCCCUGGCUUUCGCGCCUCAGCGUCAGGUGAGGUCCAGCACGCCGCUUUCGCCACCGGCGUUCCUUCCGAUAUCUACGCAUUUCACCGCUCCACCGGAAGUUCCGCAUGCCCCUACCUCCCUCGAGCCAGCCAGUAUCGGGGGCACUUGUCCGGUUAGGCCGAACGAUUUCACCCCCGACUUGGCAAGCCGCCUACGCGCCCUUUAAGCCCAGUGAAUCCGAACAACGUUCGCACGGUUCGUCUUACCGCGGCUGCUGGCAC